GCUUUCGUGGUGUAGUGGUCAGCACACUCGACGUGUAACCGAGAGGUCCGUGGUUCGAUUCCCGGGGAAGGCG
rfam:Stegodyphus mimosarum contig37198, whole genome shotgun sequence.